UACGAAGGGGGCUAGCGUUGCUCGGAAUCACUGGGCGUAAAGCGCACGUAGGCGGGUUCUUAAGUCAGGGGUGAAAUCCUGGAGCUCAACUCCAGAACUGCCUUUGAUACUGGGAAUCUCGAGUCCGGGAGAGGUGAGUGGAACUGCGAGUGUAGAGGUGAAAUUCGUAGAUAUUCGCAAGAACACCAGUGGCGAAGGCGGCUCACUGGCACGGUACUGACGCUGAGAUGCGAAAGCGUGGGGAGCAAACAGG
rnacentral:rRNA from 1 species